UUGAAGCAGGCUGGUGGGAGUGGAGGGAGGAAGAAGUGGAUGGAUUUCAGAGCAAUUUCGGAGAUGAAAUAGACACCACCUGGGGACUGAUUAGAAGUCGGGGUUGAGGGAAAACAGGAAGUUCAGAACUGCUGUGGCUUUCCUGCCCCAGUUCCUGGGUGACGGUGGGUGGUUCAGUGAGGGGGGGAACACAGUGGGAAGGAGGAGGGACGUCGAGGGGCAGGCUCCAGGGCACCUGAAACUGCAGGUGAAAGUGUUCUUAUUUUGUUCUCACUCUGGCUUUGCUAAAAUGCCGUGGAACUCAAAUGAUGGGUUGAGUCCCAGUUUUAUUCCUAGUUCUGCCACUUCUUGGCUACCUCAGGCACCUUUCUCAAUUCUCUUCUUUCUCACGCAAACAGCGGAGCUACUAAACUGAGUCCUGCACACCUCAAAUGCUGGCGGACACCCUUCUCCCACCCACUUUCUUCAGGUCAAGUGAGAAAUAUUUGAGCCUAUGACUUUGCCAAAGGAGUCUCAAAGGAAUGACUGUCCUCAUCUCCAAAGUCAAAGCUGGGUCAAACCACACCCACAAAUAGCCCAUUUGAAGAGGAGAAGAGGAGGGAAUGGAAACUACGAUUUUCUUCUAAGAUCUCCAGUCCUACCCCCUGCCCCACUUGGAGCCUUGGGCCUUGUGAGGACAUGCCUCAUGGGCCACCUCUGGGGAGAGGUAUCCACUACAGGCCCUACACAGCCAAUCUAAUUUUAUCUACGGAGUUCCCACAUACGACUUUUUCUUUGAAGACCGGAUUCUGUGAGUGUUUGGGGGGUUAGCUGUUGAAGAGCAUUCAUUUGGUAAUACCCACCUGCUCAUAUUUUACUGUGUAUACCGUGUCAUCUCACACUUCAGUCCCUUUGUUUAUGCUGUUCCUGCCUCUGGGAAUGCCCAUCUCUCCAUGCCUGGAAUUGACGCUUCCCCUGCUAUGGACAGAAUGUUUGUGUUUCCUCAAAAUUCAUAUUUUGGAGCCAUAAUCCCCAAUGUGAUGGUAUUUGGAAGUGGGGCCUUUGGGAAGUAAUUAGGUUUAGAUGAGGCCAUGAGGAUGAAGCCCCCAUGAUGGGAUUAGUGCCCUUUUAAGAAGAGGAAGAGACCAGAGCACACUCUCUCUCCACCACGUGAGGAUACAGCAAGAAGGCAGAGUGUGCAAGCCAGGAGGAAGGGCUCUCACCAGACGCUGAAUCUGCUGGCACCUUCAUCUCGGACUUUCCAGUUUCCGGAACUAUAAGAAAUGUCUAUUGUUUAAAUCCCCUGUCUUUGGUAUUUUGCAUGGCAGCUCAAGCUGACUAAGACACUCCUCAAGAAUUCAAGAAACUCACUUCCAAGAAGCUAAUUUGAACUCCGGGGUGGGCUGACGCGCUUUGUCUGUGUUUCCAUUGAAACCUGUGCAUUUAGCUUUGUUAGUAUUUACUGUAUUAAAUUGAAAGAUUACUUGUUUAUGUGUAUACCUUUCCCAUUAGGCAGUAAACUUUUGAAAAUAGG